rnacentral:rRNA from 1 species
GGUCUCAGUUCAGAUUGCAGGCUGCAACCCGCCUGCAUGAAGUCGGAAUUGCUAGUAAUCGCGGAUCAGCAUGCCGCGGUGAAUACGUUCCCGGGCCUUGUACACACCGCCCGUCACACCAUGGGAGCCGGUAAUACCCGAAGUCAGUAGUCCAACCUCGUGAGGACGCUGCCGAAGGUAGGAUUGGCGACUGGGGUGAAGUCGUAACAAGGUAUC